UUUUUCUUAGCCAAACGUGAUGAACAAAACGGAGCGAUUUCUCCUACACAAAUAAUAUUUUUGGAAAAACUGAACAUUUGCUAUCUAACUGAGAGUCUCCUCAUUGAAAACAUCCGAAGUUCUUCAAAGGCCCAAGACAUAAAGUCUCCUGAAAGCUGUGUAGCAAUCAUUCCAUUGCUGACCCAUAGGAUGGUAAUCACAUACAUGAUUGGCUUCAUCUAGAAUCAUGGAUACCUUUCAUACCUUCUCAUCACAAGUUGGAACUAGUGGUCAACAUUGGGACAAUGCAGCCAUAAAUAACAUGGACCAAUAUUUUCAUGGAGUGAGCAAGACCUGCCAGCAGAGCUCACUGGAGCAGGGAGACAUGCCAUCAUCCUUUU
ensembl:lncRNA